GAUGUGUGCUCUUCGGAUCUCUGUGGCGCAACGGCCGAGGGGCUGCCCAGAACAUCAUCCCUGCUUCCACUGGUGCUGCCAAGGCUGUAGGCAAGGUCAUCCCUGAGCUGAACGGGAAGCUCAGUGGCAUGGCCUUCCGUGUCCCCACCCCCAACGUGUCUGUCGUGGAUCUGACCUGCCGCCUGGAGAAAGCUGACAAAUAUGACAACAUCAAGAAGGUGGUGAAGCAGGUGUCAAACGGCCCCCUCAAGGGCAUCCUGGGGUACACUGAGGACAAGGUUGUC